UUAAAACGGAUUUUUUCGGAAUGAAGUUUUUUAUGACUGAGUGGCGGACGGGUGAGUAACGCGUGGGUAACCUGCCUCACACAGGGGGAUAGCAGUUGGAAACGACUGGUAAUACCGCAUAAGCGCACAGCUUCGCAUGAAGCAGUGUGAAAAACUCCGGUGGUGUGAGAUGGACCCGCGUCUGAUUAGGUAGUUGGUGAGGUAACGGCCCGCAAAGCCGACGAUCAGUAGCCGACCUGAGAGGGUGACCGGCCACAUUGGGACUGAGACACGGCCCAGACUCCUACGGGAGGCAGCAGUGGGGAAUAUUGCACAAUGGAGGAAACUCUGAUGCAGCGACGCCGCGUGAGUGAAGAAGUAUUUCGGUAUGUAAAGCUCUAUCAGCAGGGAAGACAGUGACGGUACCUGACUAAGAAGCUCCGGCUAAAUACGUGCCAGCAGCCGCGGUAAUACGUAUGGAGCAAGCGUUAUCCGGAUUUACUGGGUGUAAAGGGAGUGUAGGUGGUAUCACAAGUCAGAAGUGAAAGCCCGGGGCUCAACCCCGGGACUGCUUUUGAAACUGUGGAACUGGAGUGCAGGAGAGGUAAGUGGAAUUCCUAGUGUAGCGGUGAAAUGCGUAGAUAUUAGGAGGAACACCAGUGGCGAAGGCGGCUUACUGGACUGUAACUGACACUGAGGCUCGAAAGCGUGNGGAGCAAACAGGAUUAGAUACCCUGGUAGUCNACGCCGU
rnacentral:rRNA from 1 species